rnacentral:rRNA from 1 species
AACGAACGCUGGCGGCAUGCCUAACACAUGCAAGUCGAACGAGACCUUCGGGUCUAGUGGCGCACUGGUGCGUAACGCGUUGGAACCUUCCCUUAUGUUCGGAAUAACUCCCCUAACGGGGUGCUAAUACCGGUUAAUGUCUUCGGACCAAAGAUUUAUCGCCUUUGGAUGGGCCCGCGUUGGAUUAGCUAGUUGGUAGGGUAAAAGCCUACCAAGGCGACGAUCCAUAGCUGGUCUGAGAGGAUGAUCAGCCACACUGGGAAUGAGACACGGCCCAGACUGCUACGGGAGGAAGCAGUGGGGAAUAGUGGAAAAUGGGCGAAAGCCUGAGCAAGCAAUGCCGGGUGAGUGAUGAAGGCAUUAGGGUAGUAAAGCUGUGUUACAAGGGAUGAUAAUGACAGGAACGGGAGAAUAAGCUCCGGCUAACUCCGUG